rnacentral:misc_RNA from 1 species
CUCUCUUUCUCUCUCUGAUUGGCGACCUUUUUAUCUCUAUAGAUCGACAGGGCGGCUUCGAUUCUCUUCAAUUUCAACGAUCCGAGCUGGAGUUCGAUCGAUUUGUUCAGAAAUUGGACGCCUUUGGAUUGGAAUUCGAUUCGGGAAGCUGUAUUUAGGGUUUCGAUUCUGGUGGCUGAUGGUGGAAGGUGGGACUUUGUGGUGGAUCUGGGAGUUGAAAUUAAUUUAAGGACUUGGAGUGGGGGUUGGAUUUUGGGAUAAAGGAGAGGGGAUUGAUGGUACUCGAGGGCGAAAAUGCAAGGCUAUGCAUGGGC